GCGGGACUGCAGCUGCUCUGGCGCAGGAGGCGGCAGACUCCAUGCUGAAGAACUGGAGAGAGAGAGCUCCAGAAGAUGCAGGGCCUCAUGAUCUGGCGCAGCACCAGCUACUGUGAGGACAGCCGGGUGCCCAUGCAGCAGGUGCACCCAGGCCUCCAGCACUGCCAUGUGCCUCUGGCGCAAGCGCAGGUCUUGGUGACUGGUGAGUUGGAGAAGUCCCAGGACCGCCUGACUGGGGGCACCAGGCAUUACAGUGACAAAGCCAGAUUCCCUAGAUGCGGGGAGUGAGGGCUCCAGGUGAAGCAGCAGCUGCUGGCCAUGUGACCAUGGGUGCAGAUGACCUUGUAUGCCUCAUCCUGACCGUGACCACAAAGCUGAAGGAGUCUCUCUCUUCUAUUGGGAAAUAA
rnacentral:lncRNA from 1 species